CUCCAGUCGGCACGCAGAGAAUUGUUGUCUCUAUGGUGAAGGCGGAAGUAACCCUUUCGAGCGCGCCAUGGAACCGCUCUUAGAACAGCUGGAGCGCUUUUCCGAAGUUCUGGCGGUCUCCCGCACGAGCCACGUCAGUACCUGGGACUCCGCGACAGUGCGCAGGGCACUACAGUGGGCUCGCUACCUGCGGCAUGUCUACCGGCGCUUUGGCCGCCAUGAACGCAUCCGCACCGCCCUGGAGCGGCGCCUGCACAGCCAGUGGAGGCCGGAGGGCGGCCUUGGGCUGGAUUCGGUCCCGGGCCUGACGAACUUCGAGGCCCUCAGGUGCAGUGAUGUCCUGUUAUCCCUGCGCCUGUUGAGGAAUCGGGCCCUGGGGGAUGCCGCCUGUUACUACCUGCUGCAGCAGCUCUUCCCCGGCCCUGGCGUCCCAGGCGGCGACCAGGUUUCGCUGCAAGACCAGCUGGCCCGCCUCGCUCGCCGCCGCUCGGCAGUCCACAUGCUGCGCGCUAAUGGCUAUAGAGAGAGCCCGAAGCUUCAGGAGGACCCACUGAUGAAGACUCAGGCGGAGCUGCUGCUGGGGCGUCUGCAGGAGGUGGGCUCGGCCCAGGCGGAGAGCAGGAGCAGGUUUCUCGGCAGCCUGUGGGAGCGCUUGCCGCGGAGCAACUUCCUGAAGGUGAUCGCGGUGGCGCUGCUCCUGCAGCCGCCGCUGGCUCCCCGGCCGCAGGAAGAGCUGGAGGUGGGCCGUCCCCAGACAGCUGGCGAGGGCAGUCGAGAGCUAGUCCAUUGGCUGCUGGAGAACUCGGAGGUCAUGGCUGCUUUUUGCCGGAACAACCCAGCGGGGCUUUUAACUUCGGUGGCAGUCCGUUACCCCGCGCUGACUCGCGUCUAUCUGGCUCUGCUCACAGACUGGGGUCGGCACCUGCGCUACGAUCUUCCGAACGGGGUUUGGGUUGGGGUCGAGACCCAAGACGUGCAGUGGGCGGAGUUGUGUGAUAGGUUCCAAAGCCUCUGUCAGAGCUCCACACCUUUGAAAGAUGAAGUUCUAACUGCCCUGCAGGCCCUCAAGAAGCAGGAUGGAGAUUUCGAAGCCCCUGGGCUUAGCAUCUGGACAGACCUGCUAUUGGCUAUUCGCAGCAGUGCAUGACACUGCAUUUGGGGGGGGGACAACUUUCAGGUCCCAGCCCAGGUCCCAGUUCUCUAUGGGCCACGUUUUGUUGCUAAUAAGGGUGCCCUGACAAUGUAUGUGAUCACUGAUCCCAACCACCGUAUCUUUGCCAGAUGAUUGUGAUUGUGACUUGACUGGUUUUUAUUUUUUUUUAUUGUACCUAUAUAAUGUAUACUUUACCUAACUGCCCAGCUAGUGAACUUGAAAUCAUAUUUACUGACAAAUAUGAAGUGACUGGAAGAUAACUUGGACUCUCAUCACAACAUGUAACUGUAAGCAUCUCUACCGACUUCACUAUCUGCUUGUUUUUAGUGACAAAUUAUUCUAUGUUAAGCCAAUUGCUAUACUUAUACACUAAAUUUCAUUCCCUCCCAUCCACUCAAGAUCAUAGCUCCAGCAGUUUUCUUCCUCUCUUACAUAUGCAGCAUAGACACACAGGCUGCUACUUAUACCACCUUAAACAAAUUAAACAAAACCAUCCCUAUUUCACAAAGCAGAUAUUGGCUUUAUUUGCUUUCCUUUGCAGCUAACUUCUUGAACACUUCUCAUUUUCCCUUAAGACUACCCCAAUCUAGACUUUGCUCUGGACCUUGCCAUUUCGUCAGAAGACACAUGUUUUCUACAUUGCCAAAUCCAGCAGUCUGUUCUCAGAUCGUAUUUCUUUUUAAUCCAUCUGGAAAAUUUGGUAGCUGAUGUCUUUCUUCUUGUUAUGUUCUUGCUGUUUGGCUUCCAGGGUAUUAUUGUCUCUUGGUUUCCCUCUACCUUUACUGUCACUCCCUUAUAAUAUUUUCCCUACUCUCUUUAAACUCUCAAUAUUGAAGUGCUCCAAGACUCACUCCUUCUCUAUCUUUUUAAUAAUUUUGUCCUGUCAGCAACUUUAACAUCAUCUGUGAGUGACUGAUACUUUUCUCCAACUUGGAUGUCUUGCUGAAACUCCAGACCUAUACAUCACUCAGCUACUACUUUUGGACCUAAAACUUAAUGUGUGUCGAAUCUACUUGAUCAGCAUCCUUCAUCUCUGUUACUAGCAACUCUAUUCUGAUUUGCCCACUCCAAAAAUAUUGGAAUUAUGCAUCUUUACCCAUGCAUGCCAGCUGACUUUAUUAGCUCAACAUUCUGAAUAUAAUCACAAUUUGACAACUUUUUACCAUCUAUAUUGCUAAAACCUGACUCAGUUAUUGUAUCGUCUCUUACUUGACUUUCUGCAGCAGCUUAAAGGACAGCUUUAGAGUCACAGCAAAUUGAAGAUGGUACAGAGACUUCCUUUACUUUCCUCAUGUGUAUGGGCUUCACAUUAUUGAUAUCUCCCACAAAAGUGGUGUAGUUCUGCGGACCUAACACUAUAGCAUCAUUAUCACCCAAACCCAUUGUUUACAUUAGGGUUUAGUCUAAAUGUUGGACAUUCUAUGGAUUUGGAUGGGUGUAUAAUGACAUUUAACAUUAUGUUAUCAUAUAGAGUUGUCCCAUUGCCCUGAAAAUCUUUAGUGUUCUGUAUACUUAUCCUUUCUUGUACUCAUUCCUGGAAUCUAUUGAUUUAUUUUUAUUGUCUUCAUAGUUUUUCCAUUUACAAAAUGUCAUAUAGUUGAGAUCAUUCUCUAUAUAGGAUUUUCAAACUGGCUUCUUUAACCUAGUAAUGUGCACUUAAUAUUUUCAUGGCUUAUAGGUCAUUACUGUUUAGUGCUGAAUAGCAUACCAUUGCCUGAAAAUGUACUGUUUAUUUAUCCAUUCACCUACUAAGGACAUGCCAGUUGCUUCCAAAUUUGGCAAUUGUAAGUAAAAGCUUCUGUAAACACUUUUGUGCAGAUUGUUGUGUAGACAUAUAUUUUCAGCUCCUUGGGGCAAAUACCAAAAAGCAUGAUUGCUGGACCACAUGGUAAGAGCAUGUUUAGUUUUGUAAGAAACUGCCAAGCUGUCUUCCAAAAUGGCCAUUUUGCGUUCUGACCAGCAAUGAAUGAGAGUUCCUGUUGCUAAUCAUCAGCAUUUGGUGUUGUCUGUGUUCAGGAUUUUAACCAUUGUAAUAGGUCUAUAGUAGUAUCUCAUUGUGUUAAUUUGAGAUAGUCUUUUAGUCAGACAUUCUUGAUUUCCUCUUGGUCUCUCUAUUAUCCAUUCUGAAUAAUGCAGGUAGAAUGGCUUAAAUUAAAGAACAUUGUGGUAUUCCUCUCUAAAAUCCUGUGCUGGCCUCUCUUACUAUAAAGUUGUUCUAAUGGCAUAUGCAGUUUUAUAUGAUAAGCACCAUCUCUUUUACUCUUCUGCCUUUUCUUCUACUCUUUCCCUAAUUCCUCUGCCUUCUUUCUAAUCACACUACCUUCUUUGCUGCUCUUAGAAUAUGUCAGUCAUGGUCCUGCCUUAUACCUGUUUUUGCUGCCUAUAGAACUCUCCCUGUUAUCUAUUUAGCUAACACCCUUACUUAUUUCAUGUAUUUGCUCAAUUCUCAUUCUUCAAGGGUUAGUCAAAGUAUUCUAUUUAAUAUAGCUGUUUUUGUAACCACAAGACUGCUCACUUUUAUCUCUUGCCCUCAUUCAGAACCUCUCUCUACUGUUACAUUCUUUCCUUUCCUAUGGAAAUUUAAUCCCCAUCCACUAAUAUGCUGUUUAGUUAUUUAUUAUGUUUAUUAUGACAAUGAUGAUUUAGUUUCCUCCAUCCCUCAAUAUAAGUAAGUUCUGUUAGAGCAGGGUGUUUCAUAUUUUGUUCAGUAAAAUAUCUCGAGAAGAGAAUGAUCUUAGCACAAAAAAGAUCAGAAAUUAUUUGUUAGAUUAAUAUAUGAAUGUAUGAAGAUGAUUUUACAAAGGCAACUUUAUGAUCUCACUGAUCUGCUAAAAAAAAACUCUGUGACUUCCUAUUCUACAUUGAAUAAAGACCACUUUCUUUCUUGCAUGACAAGAUCAAAUGUAUAUUUUGCUUAUCUUUUUAAUUUUUUUUUAUUUGACAGAUAGAAUUAGACAGUGAGAAAGAGAGACAGAGAGAAAGGUCUUCCUUCCAUUGGUUCAAACCCCUGAAUGGCUGCUAUGGCCAGAGCUACGCCAAUCCGAAGCAAAGACACAGGUGCUUCCUCCCAGUCUCCCACACAAGUACAGGGGCCCAAGCACCCAGGCCAUCCUCCACUGCCUUCCUGGGCCACAGCAGAGAGCUUGACCGGAUGAGGAGCAACCGCGACUAGAACCCAGCGCCCACAUGGGAUGCCAGGGCCGCAGGCGGAGGAUUAACCAAGUGAGCCACGGCACCAGCCUCCUCUUGCCAUUCUUUUUAAAUACAUUCACAAAACACAAGAAUUCUUUCAAUAUAUACAAAUAUAAUUAAUCUCUUAAUUUCCUUCAGGCCUCCCAUUUUCCUAUUAAUUGCAGUUUUGUUGUUCAUGCGUGUCUGUAUCUUCUACUGGUCCACAAGCUCAGUAAGGACGACACUGCCUGUUUUCCUUGCCAUUGAAGAUACAAGUGUCUUAUACCAUAACUGACAUAUAUUAAGUCAUUGAUAACUAGUUUUAAAUGUAUAAGAAUACAUUUCUUAGAGUAUUAUACCCUGGAUUAUAUAUCUAAAAAUAUGUCAUUUUAAUAGUGACUACAACGAGUAUACAUCCAAGCAAGAGCAGUAGGGGAUCUGGUACCAAUAGAUGGUGACAUUUCCACACAAUGCUACACUGAAAGAUCUUCUAAAUCCCCUUUGUUGCACUUGAAUUGGAUAAACAUCCACCAAUGUCAAGAUUUAGUUGUUGUGAUUAAAUUUCCACUUUUACUUGAUAUUUAUAAGUGUUUUUUCUUUUUGGAGUUUUGGAGCUCUAAAACACUAUACGAACUCAGUAAAGAAGGAUCCGUAUUCCGUGGCUAACAGUGGAUAUAGGAUAUUCACUAUUAACGUACAUUAAUUAACAUAAAUGCUCUGGGAAGAAACUAUUGAUUUCCCUCAGGGAUUAAUUGGAAAUGAUCAAUCACUAUAUUAGAAGUGUGGCAGUAAUAUCGUUUAUCAGAUGCCAGUUGUUAUAGUGGGCGAAGAAUACCCUCUUGGCUUAGAAAUAUGGAGACCCUAAGGAGAAGGAGCUUAAAUCAUUACAAUAAUUGACGGAUAUACAACUGUUUCUUAGAUCUUCAUUACUCUUAAUAUCGGGAUUAAGGUUUGAAUUCAGAAGAGUUUACAGUGCCUUAAAUUCACAUUGUAGUUUUAUACUUUCAUAAAAGAUAAGGACUUGCAUUGUAGAAAU